AUAAUACUCCCUCCGUCCCAAAAUUCUUGUCUUAGAUUUGUCUAAAUACGGAUGUAUCUAGACAAAGCUAUGACAAGAAUUUUGGGACGGAGGGAGUAGUUA
rnacentral:pre_miRNA from 1 species